rnacentral:rRNA from 1 species
GGUUAUCGUACUGAUCCGAGGUCACCUUGAGAAAAGUUCAGAAGGUUCGUCCGGCGGGCGACGCCCGGAGGUCCGUCGGAUGUAUGUUUACUACGCUUGAGGCAAGACGCCACGCGAGGCUUUAGUGGUUUUCUCCUCUGAGUGACACAUAAACAAAUAAAUAAAAACUUUCAACAACGGAUCUUGGUUCUGGCAUCGAUGAAGAACGCAGCGAAAUGCGAUAAGUAAUGUGAAUUGCUGAAUUCUGUGAAUCAUCGAAUCUUUGAACGCACAUUGCGCCCGCCAGUAUCAAGAGAUCCGUUGUUGAAAGUUUUAGUUUAUUAAAUGUUUUUCAGACUGCAUCGUUUACUGACUGGAGUCGGCCCAGCCUUCUCGCAAGGCCGCCGGCCCCGAAAUCUAGUGGCGGUCUCGCUGUAGUCCUCCUCUGCGUAGUAGCACAACCUCGCAGUUGGAACGGCCGGACCCCAUGCCGUUAAACACCCCACUUCUGAAAGUUGACCUCGGGAUCAGGUAGGAAUACCCGCUGAACUUAAGCAUAUCAAUAAGCCGUGUGUG